CCCAUAUGGAAAUAUAGUGUCACUAAUAUAUUCACCUAUUAUUAAUUUCUAAUAUAUGGUGUGCCAAAGUCACUAUUGUCACUUAAAAAAUGUUAAAAUUGAUUUGUCAAAGUCAUGUGGUCACUACAGGGUUAAAUUAAUGAUGCAUGCACGCAGCACGUUAUUCACAUGUUGGCCAGUAGAGGUCGCAUGCACCUUUGUCAUUCCCGGCAUUCCUUCACUGAACGUCACAGUGAAGGCACGAGUCAUAUCGUUGCGUUGCAAAGACAAAGUUUUAUACGUUAAAAUACUUGUCAAUUUUCAAACCGAGUGUUGGAAAAGCAGCAUAAGAUAGCCUGGUCCCAGUGGGAGCUGGAUUGCUGUGUUUUGUGCUGCUGAGAACUCCAAUUGUUUUUUUGUAUGAUCCUGAAGUCUGGUUCCAAGCUGGACUUGAGUUAAGAUGGCGAGCCAGUCCCAGUGAGUGAGAGUCUGCGGAGAGGGAGCGUUUGGAUGUGGUGUGGCCAGCUGCAUCGGUCUCCACACUCUGCAGUGAUCUAUAACUGAACUGAUCCACCAUCAGAGUCGCAAGUAUCGAACCGAAUCAGUAUGGAAUAACGGAUUACAAUAGAACUAAGGAUUCCCAACCAAGGAAUAUAGACAGUGUUCAAUUCAUUACUACCCGGGUAGAUUGUAUUUUUUGAAAGGACAAUUUAAAAAGGACAUUUCUUCUAUUUUGCUACUUUUGAAUUUUGCAACAGAGCUCUAUUUUUAUUUUAUUUUUGGGGGGUAUUUUCAAUUUAAAAAGCACACUGUUCAUGUGUUAUCGUUUAUUAUUGUGCAAUAAAUUUGCCAGCAGUUGUUCUGUGGUCCACUAA